rnacentral:rRNA from 1 species
AAUCAACGCUGGCGGCGUGCCUAACACAUGCAAGUCGAACGGGAAAGCGCUUUUCGGAGUGCGAGUAGAGUGGCGGACGGGUGAGUAACGCGUAGGAAUCUACCUUAUAGUGGGGGAUAACCCGGGGGAAACUCGGGCUAAUACCGCAUAAUCUCUACGGAGCAAAGCGGGGGAUCUUCGGACCUCGUGCUAUUAGAUGAGCCUGCGUUGGAUUAGCUUGUUGGUGGGGUAAAGGCCUACCAAGGCGUCGAUCAGUAGCUGGUCUGAGAGGAUGAUCAGCCACACUGGGACUGAGACACUGCCCAGACUCCUACGGGAGGCUGCAGUCGAGAAUCAUUCGCAAUGCGCGAAAGCGUGACGAUGCGACGCCGCGUGGAGGAUGACGGCCUUCGGGUUGUAAACUCCUGUCAUGAGGGAAAAACCUCCGGGGUGUUAAUACCGCCUCGGAUUGAUGGUACCUCAAGAGGAAGCCACGGCUAACUCUGUG